ACGGGUGAGUAACACGUGGGUAACCUGCCCAUCAGAGGGGGAUAACAUUCGGAAACGGAUGCUAAAACCGCAUAGGUUCUUGAGUCGCAUGACUCGAGAAGGAAAAGAGGCUUCGGCUUCUGCUGAUGGAUGGACCCGCGGUGCAUUAGCUAGUUGGUGAGGUAACGGCUCACCAAGGCCGUGAUGCAUAGCCGACCUGAGAGGGUGAUCGGCCACAUUGGGACUGAGACACGGCCCAAACUCCUACGGGAGGCAGCAGUAGGGAAUCUUCCGCAAUGGGCGAAAGCCUGACGGAGCAACGCCGCGUGAGUGAAGAAGGAUUUCGGUUCGUAAAGCUCUGUUGUUAGGGAAGAAUGAUUGUGUAGUAACUAUACACAGUAGAGACGGUACCUAACCAGAAAGCCACGGCUAACUACGUGCCAGCAGCCGCGGUAAUACGUAGGUGGCAAGCGUUGUCCGGAAUUAUUGGGCGUAAAGCGCGCGCAGGUGGUUUAAUAAGUCUGAUGUGAAAGCCCACGGCUCAACCGGGGAGGGUCAUUGGAAACUGGGGAACUUGAGUGCAGAAGAGGAGAGUGGAAUUCCAUGUGUAGCGGUGAAAUGCGUAGAUAUAUGGAGGAACACCAGUGGCGAAGGCGACUCUCUGGUCUGUAACUGACGCUGAGGCUCGAAAGCGUGGGUAGCAAACAGGAUUAGAUACCCUGGUAGUCCACGCCGUAAAC
rnacentral:rRNA from 1 species